rnacentral:lncRNA from 1 species
CAUGGAGGUGCCUGCGCAGAUCUUUCAUGAGAGAACUUGCUGGAAGCAAUAGCUGCAGCUAUUCUCUCCCAGGACUAGGACUCUUUCUACCCAGUGACUGUGCAUGAUGAGGGUACUCCAGUUAUUCCACAACUGUAGCCCAAUAUCUGAGCCACCUAAUGGACAGGCUUUACCCUGGGCUUCCCAUUUGGCAGCCCAAAGCUUUGUUAGUCCUUCAACAUGGUCUGAAGCUCUUCUCAGAGAACCUUCCUUUUUCUUUCUUUCCUUUUGCAAGUGUCAAACUUACACUGAAAUCUGCUCCUACCUCUUUAUUCUUUAUGAGUAUUUCAUCCAAUUAAUCUUUUACAUAACUGAUUUCAUCUUGAUCUGCUUCCCAGAAGAAAGUCACAUGGAUCAUUUAAAUAAAACAUUAAAAUCAAUAUACUGAUUAGGUUAGAGGUAUAUGGUAUUACUAAAAUCAAAAGGUCACACAGUUAUUCUCAAAAAUCCUAAUGAAAACCACAUGCUUACCCUGACUAGUUUUGAAUUAAUUAUUAUUUGCAAGUUUCAAUUAGUUUACCAGAAAAAAAUAGUGAAACAAUCAGUGUUUUGUGUUGUCCUCCCUGUCUACAAUACUAGUUUGGAAUGGAUUUUCACCCUUACCUCCAGAACAUUCUAGUCACCAGAAAGACAGUCUUGGGAGAAAGUUAAAAGAAAGAAGCAAUAUUAUCAUAUUGAUGUUUAUCAAGGUUGGAGAUGAAAAUUGAAGUGGAAAUUUUUUGAAAAUAUAAAUUUUAGAGAUAUCCUGUGGUGAAUACUAUGUGAAUAAAAUGAUAAGAAAUAGACAUGUUAGACACGCAAGGGAUAAUGCAUUUGGUUUAUACCAGGCUACACAGAGAAGGAAAAGUAGGCAUAUUUUGCACUGCAGAGACUCUUAAUGUCACAUUAAAGAAAUGAGAUUUGGCAAAACUAAACAGCUGUAAAUAGUGUGGGGGGGAGAAAAGAUAAAAAAGUUUCUACCCAGGAAGGAUAGAAAAAUGGUGGCCCUUGAAUGAAAAUGGAAAGUUGGGUACAAGAAUGAAUUUUACAG